AUUGAACGCUGGCGGCAUGCUUUACACAUGCAAGUCGAACGGUAACAGGCCUUCGGGUGCUGACGAGUGGCGAACGGGUGAGUAAUGCAUCGGAACGUACCCAGAGGUGGGGGAUAACGCAGCGAAAGCUGUGCUAAUACCGCAUGUGAUCUGAGGAUGAAAGCGGGGGACCGCGCAGCAAUGUUUGGCCUCGCGCCUUUGGAGCGGCCGAUGUCGGAUUAGCUAGUUGGUGGGGUAAAGGCCUACCAAGGCGACGAUCCGUAGCUGGUCUGAGAGGACGACCAGCCACACUGGGACUGAGACACGGCCCAGACUCCUACGGGAGGCAGCAGUGGGGAAUUUUGGACAAUGGGCGCAAGCCUGAUCCAGCAAUGCCGCGUGCGGGAAGAAGGCCUUCGGGUUGUAAACCGCUUUUGGCAGGAACGAAACGGUGUCCGCUAAUACCGGGCGGUAAUGACGGUACCUGCAGAAUAAGCACCGGCUAACUACGUG
rnacentral:rRNA from 1 species